UACAUACUGUGCGAACGUUAUUCGGAAUCACUGGGCUUAAAGGGUGCGUAGGCGGCGAUUCAAGUCAGAUGUGAAAUGCCUGAGUUCAACUGAGGCAUUGCGUUUGAAACUGGAUUGCUGGAGUGUCCCAGGGGUGUGCGGAACUGCCAGUGGAGCGGUGAAAUGUGUUGAUAUUGGCAGGAACACCGGAGGCGAAAGCGGCACACUGGGGGAUAACUGACGCUGAGGCACGAAAGCCAGGGGAGCGAACGGG
rnacentral:rRNA from 1 species